AAGGCUGGCUGCUAAUCAAUGUAGGUAGUAUAAUCCUUUGAUUGUAAAUUAUUUUCCCUACUACGUAAAGCUGGUACAAAAGCCGUACGGUUUUUUAUAUACCGAAAAGCAUUCAUUCAUCAUGGAGUCCUUUACUACCUCUUACUACUCCUUUACUACUUUAUUAAUUAAAUUCUGUUGGUCUCUUAUUGAAAUAAAUUGUCCUUACUUAACGAAAUUCAAAUUUGGAAAUAUCAAAGGAUGAUUUACGAUGUGAUGGUAGAACAAUGCUGGAUUAUCACCCUAUAAUUCUUGAAACUACAUUAGUUUCCAAUGCCAGUGGAUCGGCAAGGCUGAGACUUGCAAACUCAUCAACAUCUGGAAAAUGAAAUUUGCAAAUUCCUACAAAGAUCCUAUGCUUCAGUCCUGAUGUAUCAACACUGGUGCAGAGUCUACGACAAGCCAUGGCCCUUGAAGCUAAAUUCCAACCAAAGCUUCAACUUCUGUCAACACUCAACAGCCAGCAAUCAGUGUUAGGAACGUCACCAAUUGACUUAAGUCAAAUUUUGACUUAAGUCAUGACUUAAGUCAAAUUUUGACGUAUACGUCGACUGCGACUGAAAUAAAAUUUAUGCGUGACUUUUACGUUGACGUUUGACGUGAAAAAAAAUUUGGAAUCUUAAAAAAAGUCAAAAUAAAAACGUCAUCUGGCAAUGUUGACGAACAAUGCCGUGGAUCGGAAGAUUUUUUCGUCUGUAAUUUUCGUAAAACAUAUCAGUUGUCAUCAAAAGUCAUGACAAUGGCGUCUACUACUAUAGAGAAAGAUUCGUGAACUGAUUCUGGUGUCUUUAGUUUUUUUAAUUUCACCGUAGACCGAUUUUUAAAAGAUCGCGACACCUCUAUAGGAAUGCUUGAUAAUUAUCCACAGAUUAAAUCUUUGUUUGUAAAAUAUAAUACUGUCAUUCCAACUAGCGCUCCAGUAGAGCGUCUUUUUAGCUUAGCAGCAUUAAUUUUAACAAUAAGAAGAAAUAAGUUGUCCGAUUCAAUGUUGGAAAUGUUAAUAUUUCUAAAAAUUGCUUUAAACUUGUAAAAACCACCUGUCAAAUAGCGUAAAAAUACAUGACUUAUUUUGUGACUUAAGUCAUGACGGUGACGUAAUUUUUUUUGGCAGUUACGUUGACUUUUUUUUUUUGACUUUUGACGUUAGGUUUUCAAAUGACGUAUGACGUGCAAAUUUUUUCUAAGUCACUGAAAACUCCGUGACGUUCCGAACACUGCCAGCAAUACAGGAGAAAGCGGUGAAAUUAUGUGUGCAAUGAGGGAUGGAGCUGCUCAUGUUCUUCGCUGCAUGAAAGUCUGGUAUGAUCUUCCUUAUGCAGUUCUUCUGGAUGCUCUCAACAUGAUGGACUGGUUCAUGAGCCGCAUGAAAGCACUCCUAAACACCUCUCAUGCAUAGCAAUCAGCUCCUUCCAUCUAGCAGCUUGCCAAUGGGUGGAGAAGAUUAAACAGAACAACAUUGAGGUAUCUUCCAUUCAGAGUCCAUUGUAGAUUGUUCCUGAACCUCAAUAUCUGUUAACGAUAUCUUAAUGUAAAUGUACCGCCGGAGACAUCAACCGGAUGGAAAAAAUUGUCGAAGCCAAGUUAGCUUGUCUACCCCAAGAAGAACCGGUCACGACCUUAACAUUCCUCAACCUGUAUCACUCACUUCUCUCGACGACUUUACCUGCCGCUCUUCAGCAAGACAUUCUUAUUCUUUCAUGCAAGCAGGAGACCAUUUGCUGUGACGCAAAAUAAUGCUGCCUUUCCCUCAUCUCUUUUGGCUUACGUCCUACUGUUUGUCGAAAUGAAGUGUCACCAGCCGGCCAUCGAGGUUAUUAUCAGAGACGUUUUACUAGAAAUUCAGCGACUUGUUAAGGUCAAAGAUGACUAGUUAAAGGAGUGUAUAAGAAUGGUCACUUCGGCAAUGGCACCUUACGAUGGCUAUGCCCAAAGCAAUCCGUCUCAUCGUCAACGACUUACCUGGAAGUUGUCCUUUUUCUAAUAUUACUUUGCCUUCUAAACCAUUUUUAAUAAGUUUUGCCUUUAGAAAAGGAAAAUGCCUAACUUUUUCUAGUCCUAUACCACUUACUGGUUGAGCCUGUGUAAAUUCGGGUCUCAAUGAUAUAUGAUUACCACUCUUAACAAGAAAACUAUAUAUUUCUUUACUCACUACAUCAGAAGUUUCUCCAAGUGUGCGGUCGAAAAUUUUAGUCAAAAUUCCCUUCAUAGAUAAGAGAAAUAGAGCCGUAAUUUCAUCCUAUAAACGUUCAAUUAAUCUAUCAAAAAUCUUAUCUUGUUUAGGGUGGUUAUUAACCUUAUAUGUUAUUUAUAUAAAUUUAAAUACUAUAAAUAAUGGUUCGAAAUUAACUGAAAAAAGCAACAAGACUUCUGUAAUUUUUCGUAAUUUCGAUGUUACGUCAUGACGUCAUACGUCGAGUAUGACUUGAUAACCACCCGAAUCAGUAAGUAUCGGCUUUGACCUAUUCAUGAACUUAUGUAGCCCACAAUUAUAAAAGAAAAAUCUCCUGUCCUAUUUACAAUAAAUGCUUGAAUUGCCGCUUUA